rnacentral:rRNA from 1 species
UACGGAGGGGGCUAGCGUUGUUCGGAAUUACUGGGCGUAAAGCGCACGUAGGCGGCUUUGUAAGUUAGAGGUGAAAGCCCGGGGCUCAACCCCGGAAUUGCCUUUAAGACUGCAUCGCUAGAAUUGUGGAGAGGUAAGUGGAAUUCCGAGUGUAGAGGUGAAAUUCGUAGAUAUUCGGAAGAACACCAGUGGCGAAGGCGGCUCACUGGACCGGUAUUGACGCUGAGGUGCGAAAGCGUGGGGAGCAAACAGG